AAGUCGUAACAAGGUUUCCGUAGGUGAACCUGCGGAAGGAUCAUUAACAAGUUUAAUCCAACACUAUACGUGCCCGGUCCUGGCCUUCGAUGACGCGUCACCAAUUUAAGUGCUGUUACCGUCAAGUGCGGUAUUCUUGGCAUGGGGGUCGUAGAGUUGGCUUCAACCCGUUUCAACCAUACCUGUGAACCAAAAACAAAACCUUUGCUUCGGCAGCACGCAAACCGGCAGGGUCCCUCGGGACUUUGUCGGUAGGGCGGUAAGGCUGCCAGAAGCCCACCAAUUCCAAACUAGCUGUUGUCAAACCUAUUACAAGUCUGAACUGAUAAGCCAUUUCAAGUGGUAAAUCAUAUUAAAACUUUCAGCAACGGAUCUCUUGGUUCCC
rnacentral:misc_RNA from 1 species